rnacentral:rRNA from 1 species
AGAGUUUGAUCCUGGCUCAGGACGAACGCUGGCGGCGUGCUUAACACAUGCAAGUCGAACGGAGUGCCUCGGAAAGAGAUUUCGGUCAAUGGAAGAGGUUACUUAGUGGCGGACGGGUGAGUAACGCGUGAGGAACCUGCCUUUCAGAGGGGGACAACAGCUGGAAACGGCUGCUAAUACCGCAUAACAUAUAGGUAUCGCAUGGUGCCUAUAUCAAAGAUUUAUCGCUGAAAGAUGGCCUCGCGUCUGAUUAGCUAGUUGGUAGGGUAACGGCCUACCAAGGCGACGAUCAGUAGCCGGACUGAGAGGUUGGUCGGCCACAUUGGGACUGAGAUACGGCCCAGACUCCUACGGGAGGCAGCAGUGGGGAAUAUUGGGCAAUGGGCGCAAGCCUGACCCAGCAACGCCGCGUGAAGGAAGAAGGCUUUCGGGUUGUAAACUUCUUUUAAGAGGGAAGAGUAGAAGACGGUACCUCUUGAAUAAGCCACGGCUAACUACGUG